UACCCAGGUGUUGUGGUCCCUGUAGGUAAAGGUGGGGACAUCUCAUACAAAGGUAGCGGUGUGGUACCCAGGUGUGGUGAUACCUGUAGGUAAAGGUGGGGACAUCUUAUACAAAGGUAGCUGUGUGGUACCCAGGUGUGGUGGUCCCUGUAGGUAAAGGUGGGGACAUCUUAUACAAAGGUAGCUGUGUGGUACCCAGGUGUGGUGAUACCUGUAGGUAAAGGUGGGGACAUCUUAUACAAAGGUAGCUGUGUGGUACCCAGGUGUUGUGGUCCCUGUAGGUAAAGGUGGGGACAUCUUAUACAAAGGUAGCUGUGUGGUACCCAGGUGUGGUGGUCCCUGUAGGUAAAGGUGGGGACAUCUUAUACAAAGGUAGCUGUGUGGUACCCAGGUGUUGUGGUCCCUGUAGGUAAAGGUGGGGACAUCUUAUACAAAGGUAGCUGUGUGGUACCCAGGUGUGGUGGUCCAUGUAGGUAAAGGUGGGGACAUCUUAUACAAAGGUAGCUGUGUGGUACCCAGGUGUGGUGAUCCCUAUAGGUAAAGGUGGGGACAUCUUAUACAAAGGUAGCUGUGUGGUACCCAGGUGUGGUGGUUCAUGUAGGUAAAGGUGGGGACAUCUUAUACAAAGGUAGCUGUGUGGUACCCAGGUGUGGUGGUCCCUGUAGGUAAAGGUGGGGACAUCUUAUACAAAGGUAGCUGUGUGGUACCCAGGUGUUGUGGUCCCUGUAGGUAAAGGUGGGGACAUCUUAUACAAAGGUAGCUGUGUGGUACCCAGGUGUGGUGGUCCAUGUAGGUAAAGGUGGGGACAUCUUAUACAAAGGUAGCUGUGUGGUACCCAGGUGUGGUGAUCCCUAUAGGUAAAGGUGGGGACAUCUUAUACAAAGGUAGCUGUGUGGUACCCAGGUGUGGUGGUUCAUGUAGGUAAAGGUGGGGACAUCUUAUACAAAGGUAGCUGUGUGGUACCCAGGUGUUGUGGUCCCUGUAGGUAAAGGUGGGGACAUCUUAUACAAAGGUAGCUGUGUGGUACCCAGGUGUGGUGGUCCCUAUAGGUAAAGGUGGGGACAUCUUAUACAAAGGUAGCUGUGUGGUACCCAGGUGUUGUGGUCCAUGUAGGUAAAGGUGGGGACAUCUUAUACAAAGGUAGCUGUGUGGUACCCAGGUGUGGUGAUCCCUGUAGGUAAAGGUGGGGACAUCUUAUACAAAGGUAGCUGUGUGGUACCCAGGUGUUGUGGUCCCUAUAGGUAAAGGUGGGGACAUCUUAUACAAAGGUAGCUGUGUGGUACCCAGGUGUGGUGGUCCCUAUAGGUAAAGGUGGGGACAUCUUAUACAAAUGUAGCUGUGUGGUACCCAGGU